GCUGAUAUGGCUCAGUUGGUAGAGCGCACUCUUGGUAAGGGUGAGGUCCCCAGUUCGACUCUGGGUAUCAGCACCA
rnacentral:tRNA from 1 species